UCGGGUUGUAAAGCACUUUUGUCCGGAAGAAAACUUCGGGGCUUAAUCCUCUGGAGGAUGACGGUACCGGAAGAAUAAGCACCGGCAACUACGUGCCAGCAGCCGCGGUAAUACGUAGGGUGCGAGCGUUAAUCGGAAUUACUGGGCGUAAAGCGUGCGCAGGCGGUCUGUUAAGACAGAUGUGAAAUCCCCGGGCUUAACCUGGGAACUGCAUUUGUGACUGGCAGGCUAGAGUAUGGCAGAGGGGGGUAGAAUUCCACGUGUAGCAGUGAAAUGCGUAGAGAUGUGGAGGAAUACCGAUGGCGAAGGCAGCCCCCUGGGCCAAUACUGACGCUCAUGCACGAAAGCGUGGGGAGCAAACAGGAUUAGAUACCCUGGUAGUCCACGCCCUAAACGAUGUCAACUAGUUGUUGGGGAUUCAUUUCCUUAGUAACGUAGCUAACGCGUGAAGUUGACCGCCUGGGGAGUACGGUCGCAAGAUUAAAACUCAAAGGAAUUGACGGGGACCCGCACAAGCGGUGGAUGAUGUGGAUUAAUUCGAUGCAACGCGAAAAACCUUACCUACCCUUGACAUGGUCGGAACCCUGGUG
rnacentral:rRNA from 1 species